AUUGAACGCUGGCGGAAUGCUUUACACAUGCAAGUCGAGCGGCAGCGCGGGGGCAACCCUGGCGGCGAGCGGCGAACGGGUGAGUAACAUAUCGGAACGUACCCAGUCGUGGGGGAUAACUAUCCGAAAGGAUAGCUAAUACCGCAUACGUCCUGAGGGAGAAAGCGGGGGAUCGCAAGACCUCGCGCGAUUGGAGCGGCCGAUAUCGGAUUAGCUAGUUGGUGGGGUAAAGGCUCACCAAGGCGACGAUCCGUAGCGGGUCUGAGAGGACGACCCGCCACACUGGAACUGAGACACGGUCCAGACUCCUACGGGAGGCAGCAGUGGGGAAUUUUGGACAAUGGGGGCAACCCUGAUCCAGCCAUUCCGCGUGAGUGAAGAAGG
rnacentral:rRNA from 1 species